rnacentral:rRNA from 1 species
AGCUAAUAGAUACCCUGGUAGUCCACGCCCUAAACGUUGUCCGCUAGCUAUAAGGAGUAUCGACCCUCUUUGUGGCGUAGCUAAACGCGUUAAGCGGACCGCCUGGGUAGUACGACCGCAAGGUUAAAACUCAAAGGAAUAGACGGGGGCUCGCACAAGCGGUGGAUCAUGAGGCUUAAAUUCGUCGCUAAGCGAAAAACCUUACCAAGGCUAGAAACCAUACUGCAUACUCUAUGAAAGUAGAGUAGCCUUCGAGGGUGUAUGGCAGGUGAUGCAUGGCCGUCGUCAGUUCGUGGCUUGAGCUGUUCCCUUAAGUGGGGAAACGAACGCAACCCUCGUUGCCUGUUACAAGUGUCAGGCGAGACUGCUCCCUCACGGGAGAGGAAGGUGAGGAUGACGCCAGGUCAGCAUGUCCCUAGAUGCCUUGGGCUGCACUCGUGAUACAAUGGUUGGUACAACAGGACGCAAUACCGUAAGGUGGAGCAAAUCCUUAUAAAACCAAUCUCAAUUCGGAUUGAGGUCUGCAACUCGACCUC